CCUACGGGCGGCAGCAGUGAGGAAUAUUGGUCAAUGGUCGGGAGACUGAACCAGCCAAGCCGCGUGAGGGAGGAAGGUACAGAGUAUCGUAAACCUCUUUUGUCAGGGAACAAAGGCGGGGACGUGUCCCCGGAUGAGUGUACCUGAAGAAAAAGCAUCGGCUAACUCCGUGCCAACAGCCGCGGUAAUACGGAGGAUGCGAGCGUUAUCCGGAUUUAUUGGGUUUAAAGGGUGCGCAGGCGGUCUGUUAAGUCAGCGGUCAAAGCCCGGGGCUCAACCCCGGCCCGCCGUUGAAACUGGCAGUCGCGAGUUGGAGAGAAGUAUGCGGAAUGCGCGGUGUAGCGGUGAAAUGCAUAGAUAUCGCGCAGAACUCCGAUUGCGAAGGCAGCAUGCCGGCUCCACUCUGACGCUGAGGCACGAAAGCGUGGGUAUCGAACAGGAUUAGAUACCCUGGUAGUC
rnacentral:rRNA from 1 species